rnacentral:lncRNA from 1 species
AUGAGUACUAAUAUGUAUAUGUCAUAUGCCGCAAUGAGUAAUUACUAUAAUAUGUAUAAUAAUUAUACUAAUUAUAACUAUAACAAUUAUAACUAUAAUAGUUAUAACAGAACAUAUAACAAUUUUAAUAACAUGAACAAUAUAGUAAAUUUUGGAAACAUGAGUAAUGUAAAUGCAUAUAAUAAUGUUAAUUAUAAUUAUUAUUGUAAACCAUAUGAAUAUAAUAAAGAUAUAGAUAUGAAAGGGUAUUAUAAUAGUAAUAAUAACAAUAACAAUAAUAAUACUGGUAAUAAUUUUUAUUCGUUAAUAGAUAAAAGUUUAGAAUUAAUGAAAACAAGUGAUAAAGUAAAAGAAUUAUUAAAAACACCUGCACGAUUACAAGUUACUCAAGAAGAAUUGAAUAAAAUUGAUUAUAAUGAAGAAGAUGAACAUAAUAAUAUGUGGUUUGGGAAAUAUAUGAUUGAUAAAUAUGAUAAAUGUCCUAAAACUAAUACUACACCACGUUUCGUAGCAAAAUAUAAAUGUAAUCCAUCAAAAGAUUCAGGAUAUACAAAAGCUGAUAAGUCAUAUACAACAAAACAAUUUUUUUGUAUUUAUUUUGCACGAGGAUGUUGUGCUUAUGGUCAUAAUUGUCUUUAUCGACACAGAAUUCCUAAUGAUAAUGAUGAAAUAGAAUUUGAUGUAUCUAUGGAUAUAUUUGGAAGAGAAAAAAUUAAUUUAAUGAAAGAAGAUAUGCCAAGAGGAGGUAAUUUUAAUAGUGAUUGUAGAACAUUAUUUAUUGGAAGUUUAUAUAUGAAUAAUGCAACAGAUGUUUCUAUUGUUGAAAAAUUGUUGUAUGAUGAAUUUAUAAAAUUUGGUAAUAUAGAUUAUAUUAGAUUUAUUCCAAAUAAAAGUAUAGCAUUUAUUCAAUAUACUAAUAGAGUUAAUGCUGAAUUUGCAAAGGUUGCUAUGUCAGAUCAACCAAUAGAAAAUCAUUCAACAGCAUUAGCUAUUAAAUGGGCAUUCGAAUUAAAAAACCCACCAUACCAUUCAAUGCAUUAUUACAAUAAUACUUUUAUGUAUAACCAAAAUCAGACUACUACAAAUAAUAAUAAUAAUAAUAUUAAUAAUAACAAUCAUCUUUUUAAUAAUAAUAAUGUUAAUAAUAUACAACCUACAUGGGAACAAUAUAUGGCUAUGACACAACAAUACGGAUUAAAUCCUUUUUUUCCUAAUUAUAAUCAUAUCAUGACUGAUGAUAGUAUGGAAAAUACUUUGGGUACUACUCCUAUCGGUGUAGGUUUUCCUAAUACUGUUAAUAAUAUGACCUAUGGUAACAUGAAUACUUUUAACAAUCCUAAUAACAUGCAUGUUGCAACUAAUUUUACAUUCCCUUCACAUUAUAACAAAGUUAAUGAUAGAUAUAACUACACAAAUAAUAAUAUAAAUAAAAUGUACCAAAAUUUUGAUACUCAAAAUUGA